UACAGGGGGUGCAAGCGUUGCUCGGAAUUACUGGGCGUAAAGCGUCCGCAGGUGGGCGUGUAUGUCGGGUGUGAAAGCCCAGGGCUCAACCCUGGAACUGCACUCGAAACUGCAUGUCUUGAGUACGGGAGAGGAGGGCGGAAUUCCUGGUGUAGAGGUGAAAUUCGUAGAUAUCAGGAGGAACACCGGUGGCGAAAGCGGCCCUCUGGUCCGAUACUGACACUCAUGGACGAAAGCGCGGGGAGCAAACAGG
rnacentral:rRNA from 1 species